UGUAAUGCUUCUUCAAUUAAUAUAUAUUCAAUUAAUAUAUAGGGGAUUUUAUAUGUAUCAUAUGGUACCGAUACCUGUUCAUUUACCAUCAUUAAUAAAGUGAAAGCUGUUUUAGCAGGCUUCUUAAAGAUCGGGCCUAAAGUGUUCGUUUAUUAGUCUGGAGCUUUGGGCUAAAAUAAAUAGGUUUUUGUUUGUAUUGGCCUACUUUGCAAGCUGGAAACAAGAGUAAAUAUGAGACAUGUAUCUGAAAUCGAAGAGCAGGAGACUGAAAACGCUAAAGGUUACGACAAGAAAAACAGCAACACUAAUACGGGGGAAAGAGGGGGAGGGCAUGCUGUGUUGACAAAGUUUCAGGUGGUGAUCAGACUGAGAAAGAAGGAAAACUGAUGGAAAGGAAGACACAGAUAAGAAUGGAGAUAGUAGAUUCAAGCAGCAAAACCGCAUUCACAGGACUUACAAGUGUAUUGUUUGAAACAUAUUGUUCAGGAGAGGACCAUUUCUCCGUCAACAUCACUAUCAGUUUUGUUUUAUCAAUCUACGUUAGCACGUUUUAGGAAACUAUUGUUAGAAUAAAACAAUGUUUUUAAACCCGACCCGGACACUAAACCAGACAACUUACCGGAUCACUGGAUUGACCAAGGGUGAACCGCGGAUAAUAAAUAAAUAAAUUUUAUUAUAUAAUAAUAUAUUAGCUAUGUAAAUAAAAAUAUAGAAACUAAAGUUUAAUUUAUUCUAAAUAUUUUUUAAAACACAAAAUAAUAGUUUGGAUAUGCAUAUAUUUUAUGUUUAAAAACAUUUAGAAAAUACUUAACUUUAGUUUUUUAAUUUUAUUUUCAUUUGACAUACAAAAUAUCAAAAAAUAGUUUAGACUAUUUAAAAUUUUCCAUAACAAAAGGUAAGAGUUGUCUAAAAAAAUCAAGACAUAAAUUCAUAAAUAUUUAUGUUUCUAAUUUGAAUAAUAAAUUAAACUUCAAAUCCAAAAUAAACCAAAAUUAAAAGAUCAUGUAAUAAAUUGUCAAUAAUGAAAAUAAACUAACAUCAAAUCACAUCAACUAGUUUUAGUUUUCUCUACCAUCAUUCACUUCAUUUUCUUCAGGUGGCAUAGUGAAAUCUUCAUCAAAAUCUAAAAAUCACAAAUAUAAAACUGAAAAGAAAAAGCCUAACUUUUUUUGUCAGCACAUAUUUUCUUAAUUGAAAAUUUAGAAUAUAAAACCUAAUCUAAAAACAUAACUAAAAACUAAAAAAUAAGUGAAAGUUAUUUAUUGGUUCAACCGGUGGUUCAAUCGGAUCGGGUUCCGGAUUUUAUUGGAUUUUUUCAGGUUUUUGCGGGUUUUUAAAUAUUGAGUUUUUCACAAAACUCAAAUCGGAUUUUUUCUGGGUCAUCGGAUCUUGGUAGGGUUUCAAAACACAAUAAAGUAAUGAAAUGAAGACAGAGCCUUGCUUACCAUGUUUCUAAAGAGGCAAUUGCCUCAGGCCCCACCAUAUUAAUCAAAUUUAAGGGCUCCCUUUUCCAGAUUUUAGGACUUCAUUACUAAUCAAUUGGUUUAUUUGCUUAAAUAUCUGUGUUUUACAAGAGUUAUAUUAACAAACAUAGCAUACAAUUAGGUGAGUUAUUAUUUGGUUAUGAUUUUCAUGACUUGUUUCUUUUGCCUGAUUUUCUUUAAUGUUUUAGAUUAUAAUUAUAAUUUAUUUUUAUAAUCUUAUAAGGUAUUUAAUUUAUCAUAUGAUUUUGAUUCUCUUAUAAAUUUCUAACUAUAAAAAAAUAUUUUUCAAAAUAAUUCAUCAGAUAUUUAGCGUAUUUUUAAUAUUGAAUUUUAAUAUCUUAUUAACUUAGUUAAUUUUAAGAAUAAAAUUUAUAUAUUAUAUUUUUUCAUAACAUUACUAAAUACUAUAUACAGUAACUAUCAUCUAUCUAUCAGCAUAAUGAGUUAUAUAAAUUUCAUAAUAAUUAUUUUUAUAAUUUUAUAUAAUAGUUACAUAGAUUAUUUUAAGUUUUUCUUUAGGCCCCUAGAAAGCUAGGCGCGACACUGAAUGAAGACAUGGACGAUACAUAGGAAGGAAGCUCGGUGGCAAAUUUUCCGGGGAAGUAAUGAGAUUGAUUAUGGUCUAAUACCUCUUAUUUGAUUCUCACCGGGAAGCUGUUGUACUAUUUUCAUACGUUAUUAUUUAUAACAUUUUUAAGACAUGGUAGACCAUCUACGAUGGGAGUUCUCUUCAUUGAGGUUCUUAAUAUAUAUAUUAUAUAUGUAUAUAUGUAUGUAUAUAUAUAAUAUAUACAUAUGUAUGUAUAUAUUAUAUAUGUGGAUAUAUUAUAUAUGUAUAAACAAUUGUGGGGUCCAUAAUUAUUGUGGAAUCCUAUAAAUAAGAGUUAUUAAGAAUUUUUAAAACCUUCUUUUAAGAACCUUUAUCUAUGGGGUUCUAUAAAAAUUGUGAACCCCAUAAUUACUUAUACAUAUAUAAUAUAUACAUACAUAUAUCUAUAUAUACUAUAUUAAAAUGGAUAUAUGAGCUCCAUUGAGCCUAUCCACGUCAGCAUAGAAAAUCAGCCAAUAGGUAGCCUGCAUUCGGACACGUCAGCACACUGCGUUUUGUUUCGGUGUGUAUUAUUUGGGCUUUCUUAAUAUUGAAUUGUGUGGGUUUGUAUAAUAGUUAUAUUUGGACCCUCAGUUAGUAUGGCCCAGACGUAAAAAACCUUUCUCUAUUGUCUUCAUCGCCGCUUUCCUUUGAACCCUAAUCACAGUUUCUUCGUCGAACUGCAGAUCUUUGUAACGGCUUCACCUUCAAGCCAUUAAACCUUGCAAUUAAUCACAGUUAAUUCGACCUCCACUACGUCUCUUUACUCCAGAAAGUUCUAUCUCUUCAGAUUCUUCGGGAUUAUGAACAUAUAAUAAGCGUCUCCGGCUUGAUGGUCCUCACAGAUUCAUCGCUCCUUCCAGCUCAUAACUCAUACAAAGUCCUGCAAGAACGAUGGCUGCUUCCCAGAUUUCCCUUUCCGAGUUGAAGACAGGAUGUUGUACUCGAACCGUUGUCACACGCUUGCUUACUCUGAUUUUGGGAAGCAAGGAAUGUUUAGAAGGGGGUGAACUAAUGGGCGUCGAUAAGGUUUUUUGGAUGAUCAGGUAUUUUUUUUCCAGUUUCUGUCUUACUUCUUCGUUGUAAUGUCGUCCAUAUUUUCGGAUUCUAGCUUCUGAUUACAAAUAUCCUUAUUUUGUUGUCUUAUCUCAUCGAAGCAUCUGUAUAUGUCCAUCGCCUGAACACAUUCCUAGAACUUCUUAGGGAGUGAGCUAUGUUUGAGCUUAGUGGAUUCGAUGUGACUAGAAGCAACAAUUAUUUCAAGCUUUGUGAUUCUCUUGUGGCCAUCCGUCUAAAUGAGUUUACGAAGAUGGUUGAAGUUCCUGCUGUUGCUCAUCUGAUUUCUACUGAGAUGUUUAGGUUUCGAUCUGUUGAGCAACUCAUGUCUUUAGCUAAUACUAAUGUUGAGCUUCCAGGGUGGUGGCCACACCCCUGAUGAUGAUAUGCAUUCCAAGUUCAAUGUUGGUGUCUCAUCUGGUGGUAAUCCCGCUGAGGGUGGUGAAGAUCCCAAGGAACCAUCUGAUGCUGAGGAAACCAUAGCAAGUCGUGAGCAGACAUAAUACACUUCUGAGACUGUUUAUAACGUCCCACCAGAUUCACCUGAAGGGAAUCCACCGAAAAAAAGGUCGGAAUGCAAAGUCCUUUAAGUAGCAGAUAUGAGGAACUAUGCCAAUGUGUUGACAUACACUUUGUAUUUGUCGCUCAGUUUAUGCUAGGACAGUUGGUCCACUAUCUAAUUUAAAAUUCAUUUGUUUUUGUUUCUAUUUGCUAGAUGUUUGAAGUUUUUAAUAUUACUCUUUUCUUAUUUUAUAAUGAACCCACUUUUAUGGAAUACAUGACUUGAUACGUAUA